CCUCCACCAGCGUGUGCUGCGGGCCGGGCGACCGGCCGGUGCGGCACGCUGGGACUGUGCGCGUUUAGCGCACGGAAGUUGGAGGCAAUAACAGGUCUGUGAUGCCCUUUGAUGUUCUGGGCUGCACGCGCGCUACACUGACCGGGGCAGCGAGUUUGUGCUUGGCCGAGAGGCCUGGCUAAUCUUGUGAAUCCCGGUCGUGCUGGGGAUAGACCGCUGCAAUUAUCGGUCUUGAACGAGGAAUUCCUAGUAAGCGCUGGUCAUCAGCCAGCGCUGAUUACGUCCCUGCCCUUUGUACACACCGCCCGUCGCUACUACCGAUUGGCUGCGGUGGUGAGCCCUUGGGGGGACAGCACUGCUGUCCGAACUUGGUCAAACCAUCGCAGCUAGAGGAAGUAAAAGUCG
rnacentral:rRNA from 1 species